CAAGCUUGCGUGUGUGUGUGUGUGUGUGUGUGUGUGUGUGUGUGUGUUUUAAGAGAGCAGGGCGAGAGAAGGAGUGGGAGGGAAGCAGCGAGGAGGACCGAUGGCUCUCCAUGCCUGUCCAUUUUGGGCGUCCGGGGGAGAGACUGUCUCUACAUGUGUGUUGUAUAAGAGAGUGAGUGAAGGAGGAGGGAGCGGCAGGGUGUCUGUGUAUUUGUAUGAUGUGUGACCUGUGCCUUAUGGGCCUGUUGUACAUGCAUGUGAUAUGGUAGAGACUGUGUCCCUGUUACAGAGACCAAAUCCCUGUGGUUUUGUGGUGUUGGGGGUGCAUGUGUACAUGUGCACACACAAGGAGGCUUGGCUGUGAUUUGGUACACUGUGGAUGUAGCCUAGUUUGUGGAAAGAGAUAAAAACCUUGUGUGUGCAGCAAAAGUGUUUUGUUUGUGUGACUUUGUGAUCACUUGUAUUCAUGUUGUGUUGAGAAAGAGAAACCAAGGUGUAAGGGGUGUAAUGAGUGUAUAUUCUGGAGAGACAAAGCCCUCCUGGAGGAGAUGGGGUUUGGGCUUUGAAGGAGGUAGAAGCCGUUCAUAAGGCAAGAAGGAAAGACGUGCGGAAUCUUGCCCACCAGCCGUGAGACUGGUGGUACACCUUGGAGACAUUGCAGGUUUGGUUCAAAACCACCACCAUGAAACAAAUACCGCAGUAAAGCAAGUCAAAUGAAUUUUUUGGUUUCCUAGUACAUUUAAAGUUAUGUUUACACUAUACUGUAGUCUGCUAAGUGUGCAAAAGGCAUCAUACCUAAAAAAAGAACCCAAUGUACAUACCUUAGUUAAAAGAUACUCCAUUGCUGGAAAAUGCGAAACAUUAUGAGCUUUCGAUGAGUCAUAAUCUGUUGCUGGUGGAGGGUCUUACCUCUACGCUGAUGGUUGGUGACUGAUCAGGAUGGUGGGUGCUGAAGGCUGGGGUGGCUGUGGCAAUUUCUGUUUUUGUCUUUUGUUGGUGGCAGUUUCUUAAAAUAAGACAUCGGUGAAGUUUGCCUUAUUGAUGGGCUCUUCCUUUCAUGAACAGUUUCUCUGUAACUUGUAACGCUGUUUGAUAGUGUUUCACCCACAGUAGAACUUCUUUCAAAGUUGGAAGUCAAUCCUUUCAAACCUGCCACUGCUUUAUCAACCAAGUAAUAUUUAUGUAAUAUUCUAAAUCCAUUGUCUUUUAACAGUCUUCACAGCAUCUUCCCCAGGAGUAGAUUCCAUCUCAAGAAACCGUGAUCUUUGCUCUUCCAUAAGAAGCAAGUCCUCAUCUGCUUGAGGUUCAUCAUGAGAUGGCGGCCAUCCAGUCCCCCUUUCAGGCUCCACUUCUAAUGCUAGUUCUCUUGCUGUUUCCACCCCAUCGGCAGCUGGUCCCUCUGCUGACGUCUUGAACCCCUCAUGUCAUCCGUGAGGGUGGGCAUCAACUUCUUCCUAACUCCUGUGAAUGUUGAUAUUUUGACCUCUUCCCAUGAAUCAUGAAUGGUCUCACUGGCAUCUGGAAUAGUGAAUCCUUCCCAGACAGUUUUCAACUUACUUUGCCCAGAUCCAAAUAAUUUGGAUAUUAUUAAAUAAUCUUCAAUAUUAAAUAAGUAUAUUAAACAGUAUCAAAUAAUCUUACAUACCAAGACCUUGAUCCAUGGGCUGCCGAAGGGAUGAUAUAUUAGUUAGCAGGCAUGAAAACAACUUUAAUCUCGUUGUACAUCUCCAUCGGAGCUCUCGGGUGACCAGGUGCGUUGUCAAUGAGCAGUAAUAUCUUGAAAUGAAGCUUUUUUUUUUUUUCCUGAGCAAUAGGAAUCAACAGUGGGCUUAAAAUAUCCAGCAAACCAUCGUGAACAGAUGUGCUGUCACCCAGUCUCUGUUGUUCCCUUUCUAGACUGCAGAGUAGAUUUAGCAUGACUCUUGAGGGACCUGGGAUUUUCAAAGUGGAACACGAGCAGAGGCUUCAACCUCAAGCCACCAGCUGCAUUAGCCCCUGACAAGAGAGUCAGCCUGUCCUUUGAAGCUUCGAAACCCAGCAUUGACUUCUCCUCUCCAGCUAUGAGAAUCCUACAUGGCAUCUUCUUCUAAUAUAAGGCUGUUGUAUCUACAUGGAAGUCUGUUAUUCAGUGUAGACACCUUUAUCAAUAUCUCAGCUAGAUCUAACUUGCGGCGGCUUCUACAUCACCACUUGCUGCUUCGUUUUGCACUUUUAUGCGAUGGAGAUGUCUUCUUUCCUUAAAUCGUGUGAACCGACCUCUGCCAGCUUUGGACUUUUCUCCUCCAGCCUCCUCCCCUCAUUCAGCCUUCAUAGAGCUGAAAAGAGUGAGGGCCUUGCUCUGGAUUAGGCUCUGGCUUCAGGGCUUGUUGUGGCUGGUGUGGUCUUCUAUCCAGGCCACUCAAACUUUCUUCUUCUCAGCAAUAAGACUGUUUCGCUUUCUUAUCAUUUGUGCGUUCACUGGAGUAGCGCUUCAUCAUUUCCUUCGAGAAUUUUUCCCUUGCAUUCACGACUUGGCUAACCAGUGCAGGAAGCCUCGCUCUCAGCCUAUCUCAGCUUUCAAUAUGCCUUCCUCACUGAGCUGAGUCAUUUCUAGCUUUUGAUGUAAAGUAAGAGACGUGUGACUCUUCCUUUCAUUUGAACACUUAGAGACCACUGUAGGGUUAUUAAAUGGCCUAAUUUCAA